CGCACGGGUGAGUAACACGUAUCCAACCUGCCGUCUACUCUUGGACAGCCUUCUGAAAGGAAGAUUAAUACAAGAUGGCAUCAUGAGUCCGCAUGUCACAUGAUUAAAGGUAUUCCGGUAGACGAUGGGGAUGCGUUCCAUUAGAUAGUAGGCGGGGUAACGGCCCACCUAGUCUUCGAUGGAUAGGGGUUCUGAGAGGAAGGUCCCCCACAUUGGAACUGAGACACGGUCCAA
rnacentral:rRNA from 1 species